rnacentral:lncRNA from 1 species
UUUCUAGCUGGUGGAUCUGCCCAGCUGAGCUGUGAACUAUCAGGGGAAUCGUUUGCUGUUGGAUAUCUCCUCCCUGGGGAAGGCCGUUUCUCCCUCUCAGUGCUCCUUGGUUGCCUAGAGUUCUUCGCGUAGGGUGCAAGGGGCCUCGUGGACCAACCACGGUGUGCCACCAACUCAGAAACGGGUGGUAGCAUUCAGUUUAAGCAUCGCCAUAAACUUGUUGAUCUGAGGUUCUCAGAAGUUGACUCCGGGUUCCUAAGGUCAUAACAUUGGAGAUUCCAGCCCCUUCCCCCAGGAACGACUACAAGAAUUCCCAAGGACCACAGCAAACGGAAGUUCUCUUUUGGAUGUCAUGCACCCCAAUUUUGUUACCUACGUCUGACUGGAGAUUGGGGGGUUCGUUCUGUGCUUUCUGUUUUGUUUCUGUUUUUCUCUUUACUGAGUCUGAGAGUAAAGCAGGAACUACAUUUUGUUUACCUUUUCUUAGCAACAAGAAGGAAUCUUUAUUUCAAGUUGAAGAGACACAGGAAAAGAGCCUGCUGCGUCUUGGGAUCUAGGGCAAGCCUACUUUGCAGUUUCUGAGGACUUUAGUUUCUCCUGCCAAUGUUCUGCAGAUGUUCAGUGAGGUUGUUCUGAGCUGCCAUGUGGGUGCUGGGAUCCUCUGGAAGAGCAGCCAGUGCUGAGCCAUCUCUCCAGCCU